UACGGAGGGGGCGAGCGUUAUUCGGAAUUAUUGGGCGUAAAGGGCGCGUAGGCGGCUGCACAAGUCAAAGGUGAAAUCCCUCGGCUCAACUGAGGAACUGCCUUUGAAACUGUGCGGCUUGAGGCCGGGAGGGGGUAGCGGAAUUCCCAGUGUAGCGGUGAAAUGCGUAGAUAUUGGGAGGAACACCAGUGGCGAAGGCGGCUACCUGGACCGGUUCUGACGCUGAGGCGCGAAAAGCGUGGGUAGCAAACAGG
rnacentral:rRNA from 1 species